UACGAAGGGGGCUAGCGUUGCUCGGAAUCACUGGGCGUAAAGGGCGCGUAGGCGGCCAUUCAAGUCGGAGGUGAAAGCCCAGGGCUCAACCCUGGAAUUGCCUUCGAUACUGUCUGGCUAGAGACCGGAAGAGGUAAGUGGAACUGCGAGUGUAGAGGUGAAAUUCGUAGAUAUUCGCAAGAACACCAGAGGCGAAGGCGGCGGCCUGGACAAGCACUGACACUCAACUGCGAAAGCGUGGGGAGCAAACAGG
rnacentral:rRNA from 1 species